rnacentral:rRNA from 1 species
GAUGAACGCUAGCGGCAGGCCUAACACAUGCAAGUCGAGGGGUAACAUAGAGAAGCUUGCUUUUCUGAUGACGACCGGCGCACGGGUGCGUAACGCGUAUAGAAUCUACCUUUUGCUGAGGGAUAGCCUUUGGAAACGAAGAUUAAUACCUCAUAGUCUAUAAUAAUGGCAUCAUUAUAAUAGUAAAGGUUACGGCAAAAGAUGACUAUGCGUCCUAUUAGCUAGAUGGAGUGGUAACGGCACCCCAUGGCAACGAUAGGUAGGGGCCCUGAGAGGGGGAUCCCCCACACUGGUACUGAGACACGGACCAGACUCCUACGGGAGGCAGCAGUGAGGAAUAUUGGACAAUGGAGGCAACUCUGAUCCAGCCAUGCCGCGUGCAGGAAGACUGCCCUAUGGGUUGUAAACUGCUUUUAUACAGGAAGAAACACUCUCACGUGUGAGAGCUUGACGGUACUGUAAGAAUAAGGAUCGGCUAACUCCG